rnacentral:rRNA from 1 species
UACGAAGGGGGCUAGCGUUGCUCGGAAUUACUGGGCGUAAAGCGCACGUAGGCGGAUUGUUAAGUCAGGGGUGAAUUCCUGGAGCUCAACUCCGGAACUGCCUUUGAUACUGGCAAUCUAGAGUCCGGAAGAGGUGAGUGGAACUCCUAGUGUAGAGGUGGAAUUCGUAGAUAUUAGGAAGAACACCAGUGGCGAAGGCGGCUCACUGGUCCGGUACUGACGCUGAGGUGCGAAAGCGUGGGGAGCAAACAGG